UAAAGGUUUGGUCCUAGCCUUUCUAUUAGCUACUAGCAAACUUACACAUGCAAGCAUCCCCGCGCCAGUGAGAAUGCCCUCCAGGUCUACAAGACCCAAAGGAGCCGACAUCAAGCACGCUGUAAAGCAGCUCAUAACGUCUUGCUUAACCACACCCCCACGGGACACAGCAGUGACAAAAAUUAAGCUAUGAACGAAAGUUUGACUAAGUUAUGCUAUUCAGGGUUGGUAAAUUUCGUGCCAGCCACCGCGGUCAUACGAUUGACCCGAGCUAAUGGAAUCACGGCGUAAAAUGUGUUUAUGGGAACGUCAUAAAAUAAGGUCAAAUAGAGCCCAAGCGGUAAAAUGCUACCGGCUAAUUAAGAUCCAUGACGAAAGUAACCUUAUUAGCCCUGACUACACUACAAUUAAGACCCAAACUGGGAUUAGAUACCCCACUAUGCUUAAUCAUAAACUAAGGUAGUUAAUGUAACAAAACUACCCGCCAGAGAACUACGUGCCACAGCCCAAAACUCAAAGGACUUGGCGGUGCUUUACACCCACCUAGAGGAGCCUGUUCUAUAAUCGAUGAACCCCGAUACACCUCACCAUCUCUUGCUAAUUCAGCCUAUAUACCGCCAUCUUCAGCAAACCCUAAAAAGGAAACAAAGUAAGCUCAAUCACCAACAUAAAAAAGUUAGGUCAAGGUGUAGCCUAUGGGAUGGGAAGAAAUGGGCUACAUUUUCUCUAAUAGAACACAACGCCAGCCCUCCUGAAAUCUGAGGGCCAAAGGAGGAUUUAGUAGUAAACUGAGAAUAGAGAGCUCAAUUGAAUUAGGCCAUAAAGCACGCACACACCGCCCGUCACCCUCCUCAAAUACGAAUAUAAUUAUAAUACAACAUAUAACCAAAUUAACAAGUACUAGAGGAGACAAGUCGUAACAAGGUAAGUGUACUGGAAGGUGCACUUGGAAGAG
rnacentral:ncRNA from 1 species